rnacentral:rRNA from 1 species
GAUGAACGCUAGCGAUAGGCCUAACACAUGCAAGUCGAGGGGCAGCAUAAGGAAGUAGCAAUACUUUCUGGUGGCGACCGGCGCACGGGUGAGUAACACGUAUGCAACCUGCCUUCAACAAGGGCAUAACCCGUUGAAAGACGGACUAAUACCCUAUAAUACAGGGGCCCCGCAUGGGGAUAUUUGUUAAAGAUUUAUCGGUUGAAGAUGGGCAUGCGUUCCAUUAGCUGGUUGGUGGGGUAACGGCCCACCAAGGCAACGAUGGAUAGGGGAACUGAGAGGUUUAUCCCCCACACUGGUACUGAGACACGGACCAGACUCCUACGGGAGGCAGCAGUGAGGAAUAUUGGUCAAUGGACGCAAGUCUGAACCAGCCACGUCGCGUGAAGGAAGACGGCCCUACGGGUUGUAAACUUCUUUUAUACGGGAAUAAAGUGCCCCACGUGUGGGGUUUUGCAAGUACCGUAUGAAUAAGGAUCGGCUAACUCCGUGCCAGCAG